GAUGAACGCUGGCGGCGUGCCUAAUACAUGCAAGUCGAGCGAACAGAUGAGGAGCUUGCUCCUCUGACGUUAGCGGCGGACGGGUGAGUAACACGUGGAUAACCUACCUAUAAGACUGGGAUAACUUCGGGAAACCGGAGCUAAUACCGGAUAAUAUAUUGAACCGCAUGGUUCAAUAGUGAAAGACGGUUUUGCUGUCACUUAUAGAUGGAUCCGCGCCGCAUUAGCUAGUUGGUAAGGUAACGGCUUACCAAGGCAACGAUGCGUAGCCGACCUGAGAGGGUGGACGGCAAAAAGGGGAAUGAGACAGGGGCGGGAAUACUAAGGGAGGAAGAAGGAGGGAAGCGUGGGGAAGGGACGAAAGUCCGACAGAGAAACGAAGAGGGAGGGAAGAAGGUGUAAGGAUCGUAGAAAUCGGGGAUUAGAGAAGAACAAGGAGGUAAGUAACUCACAGCCCCCGGAGGGGCAAUAAACAGAAAGGCAAGGACAACCAGGGC
rnacentral:rRNA from 1 species